rnacentral:rRNA from 1 species
UAGGGAAUCUUCGGCAAUGGACGAAAGUCUGACCGAGCAACGCCGCGUGAGUGAAGAAGGUUUUCGGAUCGUAAAACUCUGUUGUUAGAGAAGAACAAGGACGUUAGUAACUGAACGUCCCCUGACGGUAUCUAACCAGAAAGCCACGGCUAACUACGUGCCAGCAGCCGCUGUAAUACGUAGGUGGCAAGCGUUGUCCGGAUUUAUUGGGCGUAAAGCGAGCGCAGGCGGUUUCUUAAGUCUGAUGUGAAAGCCCCCGGCUCGACCGGGUAGGGUCAUUUGGAACUGUGAGGCUUGAGUGCAUAAGAGGAGAGUGGAAUUCCAUGUGUAGCGGUGAACUGCGUAGAUAUCUGGAGGAACACCAGUGGCGAAGGCGGCUCUCUGGGCUGUAACUGACGCUGAGGCUCGAAAGCGUGGGGAGCAAACAGG